UAUUUACCAAGUGAUCUUAAUUAACAAAUAUGUACAAUAUUACAUGGAACUGAUAUCCUCCAGAUGGAAAAAAAUGUAUUACAUAUCAACUUCAAAAUAUAAGGAAUUGGAAAUAUUAUUCCAAAUAUUAAAGUAAAAAAAUAUAAAACUUUAAUUAUAAGUGCCAAAAACAAGAUGGAUACUUCUAUUACAUUUAACAAAUGGACUACCUGGAUAUAAAGUAAUGAUUACUGGACUUAUGAUAUACAGAGGAGGUAUUAUUUUAUUAAAAGAAAGUAAAUUUAGAGAAAUUGACGGAGAAAUAAAAAAUUUAUCCGUCAUCAAUGCAUUAGAAAAUGUUCUAACUUGAACUUUAAACUGUUCAGAAAAUACAGACUUCUAUAUAAUAAAGGUUAGAAGAUAAUGAAAGACCACUUGCUACAAAUGAUUUCUUUGAAGAUGAUUUUGAAAUCAAUUU